GGUUUUAUAUUUUAAUAUAAAAUAUUAAAUUGCAAAUUUAAAGAUACAUAAUUAGUGUUAAAACUU
rnacentral:tRNA from 1 species